AGCAGCCGCGGUAAUUCCAGCUCCAAUAGCGUAUAUUAAAGUUGUUGCAGUUAAAAAGCUCGUAGUUGAAUUUCGGGAUCAGUACGCUGGUCGUGCCUUCGGUAUGUACUGGUGUUACUGGUUCCUACCUUCUGACGAACUGUCAUGUCAUUAAUUUGGUGUGGCGGGGAAUCAGGACUAUUACUUUGAAAAAUUAGAGUGUUUAAAGCAGGCUCGCGCUUGAAUACAUUAGCAUGGAAUAAUGAAAUAGGACGUUCGAUCCUAUUUUGUUGGUUUCUAGGAUUGACGUAAUGAUUAAUAGGGAUAGUUGGGGGCAUUAGUAUUCAAUUGUCAGAGGUGAAAUUCUUGGAUUUUAUUGAAGACUAACUACUGCGAAAGCAUUUGCCAAGGAUGUUUUCAUUAAUCAAGAACGAAAGUUAGGGGAUCGAAGACGAUCAGAUACCGUCGUAG
rnacentral:rRNA from 1 species